rnacentral:tRNA from 1 species
GGCGACGUACCCAAGUGGCUAAGGGAGCGGUCUGCAAAACCGCGAUUCACCGGUUCGAAUCCGGUCGUCGCCUCCA